rnacentral:rRNA from 1 species
GAUGAACGUUGGCGGCGUGCCUAAUACAUGCAAGUCGAACGGAGAUUGUAGCAAUACGGUCUCAGUGGCGAACGGGUGAGUAACGCGUUGGUGACCUGCCCCGAAGUGUGGAAUAACAGAUCGAAAGAGCUGCUAAUACCGCAUAAUAUCCAGAGGACUAGAUGCCUUUGGAUUAAAGGAUUUAUUCGCUUCGGGAGGGGCCUGCGUCCCAUCAGCUAGUUGGUAAGGUAAAGGCUUACCAAGGCUAUGACGGGUAGGGGACCUGAGAGGGUGGCCCCCCACAAUGGAACUGAAACACGGUCCAUACACCUACGGGUGGCAGCAGUAGGGAAUAUUAGUAAUGGGCGAAAGCCUGAACUAGCAACGCCGCGUGUGCGAAGAAGGCCUUCGGGUUGUAAAGCACUUUUUGUAGAGGAUGAGGAAGGACGGUACUCUCAGAAUAAGUCUCGGCUAACUACGUGCCAGCAGCCGCGGUAAACGUAGCGUG